rnacentral:rRNA from 1 species
CGCGGUGAAUACGUUCCCGGACCUUGUACACACCGCCCCGUCAAAGCCCAUGGAAGCUGGGUGUACCUAAAGUCGGUAACCGCAAGGAGCCGCCUAGGGUAAAACUAGUAACUGGGGCU